rnacentral:siRNA from 1 species
GAAGUGUUCGGAUCGCGG